UACGUAGGGGGCUAGCGUUGUCCGGAAUCAUUGGGCGUAAAGCGCGUGUAGGCGGUCCGGUAAGUCCGCUGUGAAAGUCGGGGGCUCAACCCUCGAAUGCCGGUGGAUACUGUCGGGCUAGAGUGCGGAAGAGGCGAGUGGAAUUCCUGGUGUAGCGGUGAAAUGCGCAGAUAUCAGGAGGAACACCAAUUGGCGAAGGCAGCUCGCUGGGACGUUACUGACGCUGGAGACGGCGAAAGCCGUGGGGAGCAAACAGG
rnacentral:rRNA from 1 species